AUUGAACGCUGGCGGCAUGCCUUACACAUGCAAGUCGAACGGUAACGGGUCCUUCGGGAUGCCGACGAGUGGCGAACGGGUGAGUAAUAUAUCGGAACGUGCCCAGUAGUGGGGGAUAACUGCUCGAAAGAGCAGCUAAUACCGCAUACGACCUGAGGGUGAAAGGGGGGGAUCGCAAGACCUCUCGCUAUUGGAGCGGCCGAUAUCAGAUUAGCUAGUUGGUGGGGUAAAGGCCUACCAAGGCAACGAUCUGUAGUUGGUCUGAGAGGACGACCAGCCACACUGGGACUGAGACACGGCCCAGACUCCUACGGGAGGCAGCAGUGGGGAAUUUUGGACAAUGGGCGCAAGCCUGAUCCAGCAAUGCCGCGUGCAGGAAGAAGGCCUUCGGGUUGUAAACUGCUUUUGUCAGGGAAGAAAUCUUCUGGGCUAAUACCCCGGGAGGAUGACGGUACCUGAAGAAUAAGCACCGGCUAACUACGUGCCAGCAGCCGCGGUAAUACGUAGGGUGCGAGCGUUAAUCGGAAUUACUGGGCGUAAAGCGUGCGCAGGCGGCUUUGCAAGACAGAUGUGAAAUCCCCGGGCUCAACCUGGGAACUGCAUUUGUGACUGCAAGGCUAGAGUACGGCAGAGGGGAUGGAAUUCCGCGUGUAGCAGUGAAAUGCGUAGAUAUGCGGAGGAACACCAAUGGCGAAAGCAAUCCCCUGGGCCUGUACUGACGCUCAUGCACGAAAGCGUGGGGGGCAAACAGG
rnacentral:rRNA from 1 species